rnacentral:rRNA from 1 species
CUCUGGUCUGUAACUGACGCUGAGGAGCGAAAGCCUGGGGAGCAACCUGGAUUAGAUACCCUUGUAGUUCACGCCGUAACCGAUGACUGUUAAGUGCUAGGGGGUUUCCGCGCAUUAGUGCUGCACCUAAGGCAUUACACACUCCUCCUGGGGAGUAAGGUUGCACGAUUGAAAAUCAAACGAAUUGGGGGGGGCCGGCGCCAAUCGCUUCAGCAUUAAGUUAAUCGAAGCAACGCGAAACACCCUAUCAGGUCGUGACAUCCUUGCCACAUCCUAAAGAUAGCGGCUUCUCGUACGGAGCGAGAGGACACGUUCUGGCUAGGUGUCGUCAAGUUGCGUGCAGAUAAUCUCGCACUAGUUCCUCCACAACAACAGACCUUUGUUAUCAGUAACCAUCCAUCACUCACGCGCUGUUAGUCGAUCACACUUGACUCACCUGAGGAAGAGUGGCGAAGACGUCAAAUCAUCAUGC